UACAGAGGUCUCAAGCGUUGUUCGGAGUUACUGGGCGUAAAGGGUGCGUAGGCGGCUUUUUAAGUUUGGUGUGAAAUCUCCCGGCUCAACUGGGAGGGUGCGCCGAAUACUGAGAGGCUAGAGUGUGGGAGAGGAAAGUGGAAUUCCUGGUGUAGCGGUGAAAUGCGUAGAUAUCAGGAGGAACACCGGUGGUGUAAACGGCUUUCUGGACCAUAACUGACGCUGAGGCACGAAAGCGUGGGUAGCAAACAGG
rnacentral:rRNA from 1 species